CACUAAGAAGCUAUACAGCAUUAGCCUUUUAAGCUAAAGAAGGGAUCUUAAACCCCUUGGUGAU
rnacentral:tRNA from 1 species